rnacentral:rRNA from 1 species
AUGCUUAACACAUGCAAGUCGAACGGAAACGAUGGAAGCUUGCUUCCAGGCGUCGAGUGGCGGACGGGUGAGUAAUGCUUGGGAAUCUGCCUAAUAGUGGGGGAAAACUCGGGGAAACUCGGGCUAAUACCGCAUAAUCUCUUCGGAGGAAAGGGGGCCUCUACAUGUAAGCCCUCGCUAAUAGAUGAGCCCAAGUCAGAUUAGCUUGUUGGUGAGGUAAAAGCUCACCAAGGCUACGAUCUGUAGCUGGUCUGAGAGGACGAUCAGCCACACUGGGACUGAGACACGGCCCAGACUCCUACGGGAGGCAGCAGUGGGGAAUAUUGGACAAUGGGCGGAAGUCUGAUCCAGCAAUACCACGUGUGUGAAGAAGGCCUUAGGGUUGUAAAGCACUUUCAGUGGGGAGGAAGGGUGCUAGGUUAAGAGCUAAGUAUUUUGACGUUACCCACAGAAGAAGCACCGGCUAACUCCGUGCCAGCAGCCGCGGUAAUACGGAGGGUGCGAGCGUUAAUCGGAAUUACUGGGCGUAAAGGGUUCGUAGGCGGUUAUAUAAGUCAGAUGUGAAAUCCCUGGGCUCAACCUAGGAACUGCAUAUGAAACUGUAUGGCUAGAGUAUAGUAGAGGAGAGGGGAAUUUCCGGUGUAGCGGUGAAAUGCGUAGAGAUCGGAAGGAACACCAGUGG